rnacentral:lncRNA from 1 species
AUGGAAAGAGUGAUUGCGCUGGUUUGGAAGAGCAGUGGAGGGUGGCGUGCGAAUGAUAGCAGGUUAGGAAUGAAGAGGCUUGCAGUUUAUUUUUUUUUACAGUUCAAGCUAUUCAAUAACAACAAUGAAAUAGAAUGCAGGGAGUAUGAGUAUGAAUGUGAUGAAGGGCUUAGAGGUGCUGAAAGAAAUCCCAGACCCCAGUUGCUUCACUUGACAGGGUUGAUUUGGACCUCAAAGAUAGGGACAAAGCAAGAUUUCAGAGCAGCAAAUAGCAGUAGUUUGGACUUGUGUGGACAGCAAUAA